UUCACCAUGUUGGCCAGGCUGGUCUCGAACUCCUGAUCUCAGGUGAACCUGCUUCAGAGUGUUGGGAUUACAGGCACGAGCCACCAUGCCUGGAUAGAAGUAAGCCAAAUUCUUAUACAGGGUUGGGUUUGGGGACAGUUAGGAAGUGCUUCCUUCAUGAUCAUUCAGGACUUUCUCAGGUCAAUAUUUUCAAUAUUGUCCCUUUUAUUAAUUUCUUUUGGAGACUAUACAGACAGAAAAAUAAUAUUUUUCCUUCACCUCAUAUGGCAGCUUCACAACAUGCCAGCUAAUUCUUUGACAUUCCUUCCCUGGAGAAGUGGAGUCUAUCUCGCCUUGAUGUUGGGCUGGUCUUUAUUACUUGUUCAUAUCCAAUUAAAUGCAGCAGAAAUACAGUUCAGCUCCCAGUUGGCUUCCUUGGACUCUCGACCAGUGUAAGAAAUCUGAUGACGCCAGGGAGUCAUGCUAUUUGGGAUCCCAGGCCACAUGGAGAGAUCACUUGUAGGCUGUCUGUUUGAUGUCCCAGCUAAAGUCUCAGUCAACAUCUAGCACCAGCUGCCAGCAUCUGAGGGCACCAUCUUGCAUGUCCAGCCCAGUUGAGCCUUCGGAUGACUGCUGCCCCCACCAACAUCUCACAGCAAUCCUGGAACAGACCCGAGCAAGAACUAUCUAGAUGAGGCCUUCCAAAAUUCUUGACCCAUAGAGUCCAUGAGCAUAAUGAAAUAGUUUUACAACACUAAGUUUGCACAGCAAUAGCACCUGGAACACCUCACUGUUACACCAUCACGUACGUUACACGGUUGAAUCUUGGAUUCCACUUAAACACCUUGUGGUGGAGCUUUCCUGUCAAUGUUGUUUUAAGGGCAAGGACUUUACAUACAUUAUCGUACCUUAUUUAAUCAUCACAGCCCACCUAAGAAGUAGAUACAAUUAUUAUUUCCGCUUUACAGCUCAGGAAUACUGGGCAUAACAGCCCAAGGUCACACUGCUCUUAAUUACUGUGCUUUCUGUUGUCAGUGCUGGAACAUGAGAGGCUUCAGGAGUCAGAAUUUUAGACUUUCAUGACAUAUUUGAACUGACCUCGGUCAUUUCCCUCCUAUCGUGGUUACACAGCAGAAUCUGGGCAUAAAGAAACUCAGCCAUGGUAUGCAUUAAUAAUUGACAGAGUAAGGUAGAAACAUAUUUCUCUAAGUGUGUGUGCUAGCCACUGUGCUACUCUGCAAAAUCAAACCGUUUUCAACUCCUUAAAAAAUUCUUUGGUAUAAACUGUUAUUUACUGAGUAAGCAUAAUGCAUUUCUUUAGAGGAAAAGAAUGAAUCUAUAUUUAGCAUAUACCUAAACCUAUAUUAAAAGCAUUAAAACUAUAUUCAAGAAUACAUUUAUUUAAGAAUCUGUGCUUCUUAAAAAAAACCUACAUUUUAAAUUUUGUUGAAUAAGACUUCUAAGUUGUGAAUUGAAAGCAUUCUGUUUUAUUAUUAAUCACCACAUUUGAUAUUCCAAUCUCAUAUACCAUUCUCACUUGGGAUAACGUGUCUCAGACAUGUUGCCCUACCCUAGUUUACUCAUUUUCUAAACAGCAUCUGCCAAUGUGGAAAAUGAGACUACUUAUAAAGGUGAGAGAUUUUAGCUUUUCUAAAAAGAUUUUUGUAACGCUUAGUGCCAGAGAAUGAGAAUAUUAAAUUGACAGUAAAUAGAGUAAAUGGAAACUAUUUUAACAUUUAUGCUUGAAACGUGACUCCAGUUUCAAGACUUUUUUUUUUCUUUUUCUAAUUCAAGUAAAUGAAACCUAUUUGGAUAAUUCAGUAAUUUAUUCUUUUUUCAUCUUGAAUGUUGGGGGGAUUUUCCCUAGAAAUAAACACAAAUAUAUAGAGUAUGUAACAAUUCAGUAACAUAAAAUCUAAAACAAAUAACUUAUUAAGUGAUGGAUAUUAUAUGUGAUUUACACGUGCAAACUCAUUAAGUCUUCACCACAACUUCUAGGAGGUAAAUAAUAUAUUAUCCCCAUUUCGUAAGUGGGGAAACUAAGGCAUAAAGAAACUUCCAUAGUUACUAAGCAAAAUUGGGGUAUGAAUCCAGGUAGUUAGGAUUCUAGGUCUGCACUCAACACUGCACUAGCAGUUCUUACAUUUUUGGGUCUCAGAUCCCUUUCACACUCUUUAAAAUACUGAGGACUGUGAUGAGCUUCGUUUUUGUUGGUUGCAUUUAUUGAUAUAUAUGGUAUUAGAAAUUAAGAUAGAGAAAAUUAGAAAAGGUUUAACUCAUUUAAAAGUAAUAAAACUAUUGCAUGCUAACCUUAAUAUAUUUGUAUAAAAAACAAUGAUAUUUCCUUAAAAAAAAACUAUAGUGAGAUGAGUAGGGUUUUUUUUUUUUUUUAACAUUUUUGCAAAUUUCUUUAAUAUCUAGCUUAACAGAAAACAACCGGAUUUUCAUAUCUGCUUCUGCAUUCAAUUUGUUGUAUAAUACAUGUCAUGCCAACCCUGGAAACUUCACUGUCCUCUGAUAGGAGAACAAAGGUGAAACGGGCAAAUAACAUAUAAUUAUUAGUAUAAAAAUUGCUUCGGCUUUGCAAAGCCCCUGAAAGGGUCUUAGGGACAUCCAGGCAUCCUGGGAUCAUACUUUGAGAACGAUGGCACUACACUUUACUGCCUCUGAGUACACAGGGAGAAUGUCUUGGUUGAAUUUUAAGUGUUCCUUAAGAAACAGUGUUUCUUCGAGUAAAUUCCAGCCUGCUGUGGUAGAAGGAGCAGAGGCUGAGCAGCCAGAGACUGGGGUGCAACCCUAGUUCUGUGUGUGGGAGCUCUUGACCUUCACUAAGUUCUCUCCAUCUCAGGUUCCUUGUCUUUAAAAUGAGGCUCAUUACCAAUCCCUUCCAGGGUCAUCACAGGCUUUCCAAAAAUUAUGUGAUAAGGUGCCUAACAGGUGCUGACACAAGAGGAUGUCUGACCAAGUGUAGCUUUUAUUUCAGAUAGACUAAUGAUGGCCAGGGAGGAAGGAGAGGGACCUCGACCAGCAAAAACGGAAGGAGAAAAGAGCUACCAAGGAUGGAUCCACAAACUCUCAGCUGGAAGCCUUUCAAGCCAGGUGUUUAGAGACUCAGAUGUUUGGACUUUUAGGAAUUUAUUGGGGUGCAUAUACUGUAGAUAAUGUCAGACCUCCUUAAGACUUGGAGGACCGUCUGAUAAUCAAACACAUUUAUACUUCUAGAGAGGGAUAUAUUUCGCUCAUACCCAGGCCUAGAAAUAGCCUUCUGUCUGGCCAGGUUUGGAUGCCAAAAGAUUUACAAAAAAUAUUUCAGUGUUCAGAACUCUGGGAUUUGGGACUGUAGAUGACGGAUUGUGGACCUUAUUGAGCUUCUGUGCUAGCACCAAGCUAGGGAUUGUGCCCACGCCCUUUCAUUUCAUUCUUUCAACUCCAUGAGCAAGAAGCAGACAUCUGAGGAUCUGGAGAGAUCUUUGCCUAGUAUUUGCCUUGCAAUUAACUUUGAAGGACCCCAGGGUUGGAGCAGUGGCCUCUGGCUUUCUGAUUAUGGCUGUUGCCUGCAAUUUAAAGUCCUAAUGUUCAUUUUGUUUGAAGAGGGAUGGAGGAGGAGUUAGACCUGUAUCCAGUUAAGUAGAUAUGGCUGCUCUAGUGAGUUGAGACGACUUGAUUUUUCUCCUUUCCCCUCCCCUCCUCUCCCCUUCCUUUCUUCCUUCUUUGUUUUCCUUCUUCCUUCCUUUAUUCUUUCCUUCCUCUUUCUUGUUAUUUUACCCUCCAAAAGUGGGUUUUAAAGUUUCUAUAUACAAUAAAUCACUGCUACUUUAUUGCCUUUGUCAUCUAGAAUUCCUUCAGGAACCGCAAUUACAAUCGCAACAAUUAGUUGAACCCAGGGCUUUUCCCAGGAUUCCUGGAAACUAGGGUGUGACAGUAAAGCUGGGCUCAUGGACGCCUAUCUGACGCGCUUACUGUGGACAUGAACUCACUGCACGUGCUGGUAGUGGAUGUGGUGGUGUGCAGCCCCCACCUCCCUUCCAGGACUCAGGCACUCAUUCACCCAGCUGCCAGGAGUGCUGGCUUUUGUUGUCUCACAGAUGAGUCUGUCUUUGGGAAUCCCUCCCUUAGCAGAAAAGAGCUGCCCUGCCCAAGGCCCUACCCCUUCUGCAGUUGGGGUUUUGGGGGGCAGCACACAUCCUGUGGUUGGCUGGCCCCUUGCCUUGUCUAGACAAUUCUGACAGCAGUCCAUGGGAAUUGCUGAAGGCCUUUAUUGCAACCGAGUCAUAAUUCAAUUUCUCCUCUAUGGAAUCCUUUUUCUCUUACUUCCUUGUAGGUAUUGAUCCUAAAAGCACUCCCCAGUAAAAGUCCUGCGUGUAAAUCUCCACCUCAGACCCUGUUUCUCAGGUAAGCAUACUUAAAACCACUGGUGCUAGGAAUGGUCCGAGGAAGGAGACUCUAAAAUGGAAUGUGGAGCUGGGUCACCAGCUGACUGGCCACCAGGGAGGACACCAUCACUAAGGGUGGGUGGGUGGAUUGCCUACAGCCCCUGGCAGGCUGUAACUUUGCAAUUGCUGCAACCUUCACUGUGGUGUACCUGCUGGAAGGCAAUGCAUUGGUUUGUCUAGUAUCUGAGGUGUCUAGGGGUUCAGGGGAAGUGGUGAUUAUAAGUACAAUAGAAUUGGAUGGCUGUUUCUGAGUGCUAUAAAAUGAAUUAGAGAAAGGGGAUAAAAGGAUACAAUGAUUAAUCACCAAUUUAAGGCUAAGUGUGAAAGCCGGAGGGCCUAUGGCAGUUUAUAAAGAGAUUCUCAUCUCCGGCAGCCAGAAGUAGAAAAAAGCCAGGAUCAAGCCUAGAACUUAAUUAUAAGGCCAGGAGGGCUCCAGAGAAGGUUAAAUUUUUCACCCCCAGCAAGUGUGCUAUAUCAAGGUCAGGACCCUGACUGGGAAGGAGUGAGAUGCCGAGACUUGGAAUAAGGAUAUAUGUGUUUCUGCACCAAAAAUCUCGAAUCCUCAGAUUCCCCUGAACCCUCUGGGCCCACUGCUCCCUAUUAAAAGCUAGUGCUACUGUUGCUUGAAGACAGUGCAGGAGGUUUUUCUUGCAAGAUGCAAGAAACAUUUCUUGCAGCAUGUUCUUAACUCAGGGUUGAUCCUAACUCCAUUCCUGGACACUAGGCCAGUGAACAGAAUGGGGAUCAGCAACUGCAUUCUCCUGGCCAAAUCCAGCCUGCAGUCUAUUUUGGUAAAUAAAGUUUUGGUGGAAUACAGCCAUAUCCAUUCAAUGACACAUUGCCUAUGGCUGCCUUCAUGCUACAAUGGGAGAAUUGAGUAGUCAUAACAAAGUCCGUAUGGCCCACAAAACCUAAAAUGUUUACAAUCAGUUUCUUUACAGGUAAAGUUUGCUGACCCCUGAACUAGAGCCAAGUACAAUAAAACUUGACAGGAGAAGUGCUGAUUGUGAUAAGGAAGGAAAAAAUAGACACCAAAGAAGAUGCAACACUGAGUCAGCAAGUACUAGCAGGAGUGGAAGAAUAUAGGAUGAAUCCUGAAGGGCCUGGGUUAAGAAGGAUGCAAUAUAUAGUUGGAUACUGGAAACUUUAUCUACAUGGGAGCACUCCCCCGAGAUAGAGAAUUUAGCACUGUGCUUGGCUGACUCUUGGGGUCUCUUUGUUGACUCUUUUCUUUCUUAGAAAUGCAGUGAUCAACUAUAUGGAGGAGAUAUGUGAGAAAUGCCUUAGCAGACGAUGAAGAAAGAGAUCAAAAGGCUCAGAGAAGCAGGAAUGCUAUGGUGGAUAUGCAGUCAGCUCUCUGUAUCUGUGGGUUCAACCAACCUCAGACUGAAAAUAUUCAGUAUUUGGGAAAAAAGUGGCAUCCCAUACUGAACACAUGAGUCAAACCUAAGCAUUCAGCAUCCGGAGCACUGUCACUAAACGUGUAGCCUCAUUCAACAACACAUCCUUAUCAAGCACUUGCAGGUACUCCAUUGAAUGUUAGAAAUGCACUGAUGAUGGAGACAUAGCACCGGCUCACAGGGACCUUCCAGCCUAGGCCGCAGGAUUGGACAUAUGCACUUUGCAGCCAGGACGGGAGGCAGGAAGCAGAGGCGAAGAAUGAAUUAGCCCAACUGUGUCCCUGUCCUCUUCACUGAAGGAGAUUGAAACUGUCUUGUCCUGGCAAUGCCAAGUGGUCAGCCUGCGGUUCAGCUUCAUAAGCUAGCCAGUGGGAAAUUUCCUAUUCAAGGUGGCUAAGAGCUCUAAGAUGACCAAGGUGAAGCUGUCACAGAAAUUCUUCUUAAAUUGUUGUGUCUAAUGGCAAAAAAGUAUAAGUUGAAGAAUUGUCUCUGAGAAAGACUGGGACACAUAGUCCAAAAGGAAUUAUGGGCUGGGCGUGGUGGCUCAUGCCUGUAGUCCCAGCACUUU